CUUGAUCCAAGUUAAAUUUUUUUUUUACCUAUUCACAAGUGGGAACACAUGUACUUGGUGACCCACUGAUGCCAGAAAUGGCAUCUUGUAUAGCGCCCAAGAUUAUAGCAGUAUCAGGAAGCCACCUAUAUCUUGUGUUUUAUGCUUUGUCCCUCGACAAAGCUCCGAUAUAGCAUCUCUAGUACUAUCGAACCCCAGCUGUAAGAACGGGCACCUAGCAAAUCAGUUAAUAAGGGAAGGUACAUCAAAUGGACUCUGUAAUAGCCCAAAUUUAACCGGGCCUUAAAACCAAAUGAAAUAAAUAAGUAAAUAAAUGAUUGUUUAUUUAAUAGUCCAUAUAAAGUCCAGUUUAUAAGAGCCCAAACAUAGGCCCAAAUAACUCAGACCCGUUAUACCCAAUCAGACCGGUUACAACCCAGCAGGCCUAAAAAAACUACCCAGCAAACCAGACUUAAACUAGACCAGCCCAACUUAAACCAGACCCAAACAGACCCACCUAAUACUAAUAAACCCGAAGGCCCAAAUAGCAGGGGCCCAAAUGACUUUCAGAUAGGGUUAGAAACCCUAGCUCUCCUUCUCCUCAGCGCCGCAACGAGGUUCUGGAAACUUCGAGCCAUCCCAAGCGUCUCGACCCUUCGACGCAUGCCGUUCCAGUAGCCUCAUCAGUGCCGUGAUUCUAGGAUCCGUGAUCGGCGCACUAAUCAGAGGCUAGAGAUUCCCUCGCUCGAUUGCUUGCAAGAAAAGGAAAGAAGCAAGAAUCAGAAUCGGGGUUUACUUUUUUAGAUUUAUUUGUAAAGCAGUAUAAAUAGAUGUAAAAUACGAUGUAAAGGGGGGGCAAAUUUUGACAGAAUAGAAAAUAUACUUACACAUAUUCAUUCAGAGAAAUACAAACAUUUUUUAAAAAUGUGAUUUAAUCGUUAUCUCGUUCUUUCUCUUUGAGUGCAUAUAUAUAUGAAUUGUUUUAGCAAAAACUAUUGAUGUUCAAAGAAAAAAGGAGUUACCUGUGGAAGGACGAAGGUUUUAGACCCUCAGACCAUCGUGUACGACGGCGCGUGGGCGUGUGUAGGAUUGAUGACCGGAGCGUGGCCUACGGAGGCCAGAGCCAGGAGGGCCUCUCCUCUCCCCUCUUUCAGAGGGUUUUUAAACUUUUUUUUUUAAAACUUAGGUUUCAAAUGAUUUAAAACUAAGAAUUUGGCUUAUAUAGCCUUGAC
rnacentral:lncRNA from 1 species